UGGGGAAUCUUGCGCAAUGGGCGAAAGCCUGACGCAGCAACGCCGCGUGGGGGAUGAAGCUUUUCGGAGUGUAAACCCCUUUCGACCCGGACGAAACCCCGCAAGGGAUUGACGGUACGGGUAGAAGAAGCCCCGGCUAACUACGUGCCAGCAGCCGCGGUAAAACGUAGGGGGCCAGCGUUGCUCGGAAUAACUGGGCGUAAAGGGUCUGUAGGCGGUGCGGCAAGUCGGAAGUGAAAUCCCAGAGCUUAACUCUGGGGCUGCUCCCGAAACUGCCGUGCUCGAGUGCGAGAGAGGCGAGUGGAAUUGCAGGUGUAGCGGUGAAAUGCGUAGAUAUCUGCAGGAACACCCGAGGCGAAAGCGGCUCGCUGGAUCGCAACUGACGCUGAGAGACGAAAGCUAGGGGAGCAAACAGGAUUAGAUACCCCGGUAGUCC
rnacentral:rRNA from 1 species